AAUAUUGGACAAUGGGGGCAACCCUGAACCAGCCAUGCCGCGUGUGUGAAGAAGGUCCUCGGAUUGUAAAGCACCUUAUGUUGGGAGAUAGGGCUUUACGUUAUUACCCUCAAGCUUUGACGUUACCAAUAGAAUAAGCACAGGCCAACUCUGUCCCACCAGCCGCGGUAAUACAGAGGGUGCAAGCGUAAAUCGGAUUUACUGGGCGUAAGGCGCGCGUAGGUGGUUCAGUAAGAUGGGUGUGAAAUCCCCGGGCUUAACCUGGGAACUGCUUUCAUACCUGCUGAGCUAGAGUACGGUAGAGGGUAGUGGAAUUUCCUGUGUAGCGGUGAAAUGCGUAGAUAUAGGAAGGAACACCAGUGGCGAAGGCGACUACCUGGACUGAUACUGACACUGAGGUGCGAAAGCGUGGGGAGCAAAC
rnacentral:rRNA from 1 species